UACGGAGGAUCCGAGCGUUAUCCGGAUUUAUUGGGUUUAAAGGGUGCGUAGGUGGAUUGGUAAGUCAGUGGUGAAAGUUUGCAGCUUAACUGUAAAAGUGCCUUCGAAACUGGUUUCCUUGAGUGUAGAUGAAGUAGGCGGAAUUUGUGGUGUAGCGGUGAAAUGCAUAGAUAUCACGAGGAACUCCGAUUGCGCAGGCAGCUUACUAAACUACUACUGACGCUCAGGCACGAAGGCGUGGGGAUCAAACAGGAUUAGAUACCCGUGUAGUCCCU
rnacentral:rRNA from 1 species